rnacentral:rRNA from 1 species
AAUGAACGUUGGCGGCAUGGAUUAGGCAUGCAAGUCGAGCGAGAAGUGUAGCAAUACACGGAAAGCGGCGGAAGGGAGAGUAAUACGUGGGAAUCUGCCCUUAGACCUGGGAUAGCAGCGGGAAACUGCUGGUAAUACCAGAUAAUGUCUAUGGACCAAAGGUGUGAUUCCGUCUAGGGAUGAGCCCACGUCCCAUUAGCUAGUUGGUAGGGUAAUGGCCUACCAAGUCGAUGAUGGGUAGCGGGUGUGAGAGCAUGACCCGCCUCACUGGGACUGAGACACUGCCCAGACACCUACGGGGGGCUGCAGUCGAGAAUCUUCGGCAAUGGGCGCAAGCCUGACCGAGCGAUGCCGUGUGCGGGAUGAAGGCCUUCGGGUUGCAAACCGCUGUCGAGGGGGAGCAACUUCCAUAGAGUUAUCUUUAUGGAUUGAGUGAUCCCUGGAGGAAGGACGGGCUAAGUUCGUGCCAGCCGCCGCAGUAACAC